GCCCAGCGCGGUGAAGCACAUCCAUGGUCCCAGCUACUUGGGAGACUGGGGCGGGAGGAUCGCUUCUGCCCAGGAGUUCUGAGCUGUAGUUCACUGUGCUGAUUGGGUGUCCACGUUAAGUGUGGCAUCAAUAUGGUGACCUCCCGGGUGUGGGGGACCACCAGGUUGCCCAAUUAGGGGUGAGCCAGCCUAGGUUGGAAGCAGAGCAGGUCAAAACUACAGUGCUGAUCAGUAGUGGGAUCGCACCUGUGAAUAGCCACUGCACUCCAGCCUGGGCAACAUAGCGAGACCCUGUCUCU
ensembl:misc_RNA Metazoa_SRP Metazoan signal recognition particle RNA